rnacentral:ncRNA from 1 species
CGAUGAGGUAGAGGUUGCGGCUUUUAUGAGUACUGCGAACGAGAUGCAGAGAACAUUGAAGACUUCGCUGGAAAGGGAAAGCCGCCGAAGUUCGCACAUUUCUCUGGAUGUGUGGACUGGGGUUGCCACCGAACAGGGGCAGCACUGUCACGGUUUGCCUGAAGAAAAGCAGCCGUGGAGCGCUAUCUUCACG